UUUUGUAUAAUUAUUAUAAGUAGGGAUUAUAUUAGCCCGCGUGAUUAAUUAUUUUUCGUGUUUAACGACUUGUAAACGUAGGCGACGACCGUUUAUCGCGGUAGGUGAAGUUAGGGUUAGAUUGAGUUAUUUCGUGCGCUUUAUCUCAUUUCAAGGAGGAAUCGAAGCGGACGAGGACGGGAGUUAUAGAAUCAUCGUACGAUCAUAGUUUCCGCGUCUUUCUUCCGCGAUAUAUUAAAGUGCGUGUCGCGCAUACAUAUAAUUAUCAUCGGGAGUGUCGUGCAAAUUGUCGCGCGAUCGUAAUUAAUCGUAUUUCCGGGAAUAUUUUGCGAGUGCCAAUGCCAUACAAGAGCAGCAAAAGAUAUAUGUAUAAAAGAGGAGGAAAAGGCUGAGAAAAUGUCGGGCAACGACACAGCAAUCAUGAGAUCUACGUACAUUAUACUACCAUUUAUUAGACAUCGUAUCAGUAUUGAAGUUAUUCCUCAAAUACAUUUCUUACGACGACUUUUCAUCCGCAAAGAGUUUAAAUAAACAUUGUCAUAGAAGGUGUGCGUUAUCGUUUCAAUGCAAACCAUCUAACGAACCAUUGAAUUCGUUGCGCUCCCACAGUAUUCAACCUAAACGGAUUUGGCUUCAUUAACCACCGGUGGACCCAUCCCUACUGCAAUCCCUACAGUUUUCUCCGACGAAGCAAGCACGACGUCCUUUCGCGUCGUAACUAUGGUAACAAUAGCAAAGGCAGACGGAAUUAGUACUACCGCGAGAAGACAUCGCGUUCUGAGAAGAAUAUGAUCGAACUUAGUAAAUAUAUCGUAAUAAAUUUUAACCUGUAAUAAUAAGUGAGUCUUGCAAAAUACGUAAUACAAAAAGACAUGCCAGCAACAGCAAAUAUAUUUUACAAGAGAUUAGAUUUUAAUUAUAUAUUCAUGUGCGUAA